rnacentral:lncRNA from 1 species
AAAAGUCUACAAGCUUCAACAAGGUUGUUAUGACUUUGUUUUGAGCCCUGGACUUGCUGAGCUGAAACAGAACAAAGAUGUAGAAAUGACAUUCACACCUCUUAAUUGGUAUCAUUAAGAGAAUUUUUUUUCAUGCCAGAGGACAAGUGAUAGACCUCCUUGAGAUUACUAUGCUCUUGGGAAAACGGAAAUUGUCUUCUAAUGAGAACACAAUGCUGUAGCUGUUAUAAAGGGGGCAGACCUGUAAUCCCACUACUUUGAGAGGCCAGAGCAGAAGGAUUACUUGAAGCCAAGAGUUCAACACCAGCCUGGGCAGCAAAGUGAGACCCCAUCUCUAUUAAAAAAAUAAAAAGCAAAUAGGAUCUUCACAGAUAUAAUCAAGUUAUUCCUUAUAUAUACACAGGAUUAGAGUGAUCCCUAAUCUAAUGCCUAGUGUCCUUAUAAAAAGAGAAAAAUUUGCACAGAGAAACUCAAACAGGAGAAGACCAUGAGAGAUGGAGGUGGAGAUUGUAAUGAUGUGUCUACAAACCAACAAAUACAAAGGGUUGCUGGUGAUCACUAGAAUCUAGGAAGAGGCAAAGAAGUUUCCUUUCUUAGAGACUUCAAAGAAAGCUUUGACUUGCCGAGACCUUGAUUUCAGACUUUUCGCCUUUUAAGAGUGAGGGGAUAAAUUUAUACUGUUUUAAGCAAGAUAAUUUGUGAUAUUUUGUCACAGCAGCCCUAGGAACUGAUACACCUGCCAAAACAAACAUGUUUAUAAAGUUUUGACUAUUUUUUGCAAUUAUGUUAAAUGAACUACACUGUGAAAUAGACAAAAUUAAUAUUACUGUACUACUUCUUCUUAUUUGACUUUUUAUAGAAGAAAAUUAUAUCUACUCUAAGGGACAUAGACAUCCCCAAAUAUGUUGAGAUGAAUAUUAUUCCUAUUUGUGAAGUUUGAUAUUGAUAAUAAGAACAAUGUCAGACAUGUAUUUGCCAACUGAGUGCAACUUUUGCUCAAUCAUAUGUAUAUAUGUUUAGAGGCUAUUAUUCCUUAAUAUUAUCCUCACUCAGUCUUUACCUAAUUCAUGGUGUAAUGCCCAGCUUUUUUUCCAUAUGCUUAGCAGGACAAUCACUGUUGAGGGACUGAUUUUUUCCUCUGCUUUUGCACUACAUAUCUAAACUGGCUAGUUUUAUUUCUGCUACCAGGCUUGUGGUUACACCUUUUUACAUAUGACUACAUUUUACCUAAAAUUAAAAUAAAUUUUAAUAGAGAAUGAAAAAUUUCUUC